UUUCCCACCUCCUGCCUCUUCCUCGGUGCUGUUGGACGCUCACUAGAGCCCCAUCCCGAUGCCCCAGCCUCCCCCCUUCUUCUUGGCCUCCCGUAUUCUUCCUCCGCUGCCAUCUUUGCAUCGGAUCGGGUGUCCCUACGUUGGAUGAAGCUUCUCCUCAUCGGAUCCCCCAUCCCAAGACUCCCCCUUCUUCCCCCACCGCACCAUCGAAAUGCCGCCGC
rnacentral:lncRNA from 1 species